GACGAACGCUGGCGGCGUGCUUAACACAUGCAAGUCGAACGGAAAGGCCCUGCUUUUGUGGGGUGCUCGAGUGGCGAACGGGUGAGUAACACGUGAGUAACCUGCCCUUGACUUUGGGAUAACUUCAGGAAACUGGGGCUAAUACCGGAUAGGAGCUCCUGCUGCAUGGUGGGGGUUGGAAAGUUUCGGCGGUUGGGGAUGGACUCGCGGCUUAUCAGCUUGUUGGUGGGGUAGUGGCUUACCAAGGCUUUGACGGGUAGCCGGCCUGAGAGGGUGACCGGCCACAUUGGGACUGAGAUACGGCCCAGACUCCUACGGGAGGCAGCAGUGGGGAAUAUUGCACAAUGGGCGGAAGCCUGAUGCAGCAACCCCGCGUGCGGGAUGACGGCCUUCGGGUUGUAAACCGCCUUCGCCUGUGACGAAGCGUGAGUGACGGUAAUGGGUAAAGAAGCACCGGCUAACUACGUG
rnacentral:rRNA from 1 species